AGAGUUUGAUCAUGGCUCAGAUUGAACGCUGGCGGCAGGCCUAACACAUGCAAGUCGAGCGGAAACGGCAACAUUGACUCUUCGGAUGAUUUGUUGGACGUCGAGCGGCGGACGGGUGAGUAAUGCUUAGGAAUUUGCCCAGUCGAGGGGGAUAACUAUUGGAAACGAUAGCUAAUACCGCAUACGCCCUACGGGGGAAAAGAGGGGACCUUCGGGCCUUCUGCGAUUGGAUAAGCCUAAGUGAGAUUAGCUAGUUGGUGAGGUAAGAGCUCACCAAGGCGACGAUCUCUAGCUGGUCUGAGAGGAUGAUCAGCCACACUGGAACUGAGACACGGUCCAGACUCCUACGGGAGGCAGCAGUGGGGAAUAUUGCACAAUGGGCGCAAGCCUGAUGCAGCCAUGCCGCGUGUGUGAAGAAGGCCUUCGGGUUGUAAAGCACUUUCAGCAGUGAGGAAGGUUUAUGCGUUAAUAGCGUAUAGAUUUGACGUUAGCUGCAGAAGAAGCACCGGCUAACUCCGUGCCAGCAGCCGCGGUAAUACGGAGGGUGCGAGCGUUAAUCGGAAUUACUGGGCGUAAAGCGCAUGCAGGUGGUUUGUUAAGUCAGAUGUGAAAGCCCUGGGCUCAA
rnacentral:rRNA from 1 species